UACGUAGGGUGCGAGCGUUAAUCGGAAUUACUGGGCGUAAAGCGUGCGCAGGCGGUUCGUUGUGUCUGAUGUGAAAGCCCCGGGCUCAACCUGGGAAUGGCAUUGGAAACUGGCGAGCUGGAGUGUGGCAGAGGGGGGUGGAAUUCCGCGUGUAGCAGUGAAAUGCGUAGAUAUGCGGAGGAACACCGAUGGCGAAGGCAAUCCCCUGGACCUGUACUGACGCUCAUGCACGAAAGCGUGGGGAGCAAACAGG
rnacentral:rRNA from 1 species